rnacentral:rRNA from 1 species
UACGGAGGGUGCAAGCGUUAUCCGGAUUCACUGGGUUUAAAGGGUGCGUAGGCGGGCAGGUAAGUCAGUGGUGAAAUCCUAGAGCUUAACUCUAGAACUGCCAUUGAUACUAUCUGUCUUGAAUAUUGUGGAGGUAGCGGAAUAUGUCAUGUAGCGGUGAAAUGCUUAGAUAUGACAUAGAACACCUAUUGCGAAGGCAGCUUACUACGCAUAUAUUGACGCUGAGGCACGAAAGCGUGGGGAUCAAACAGG